rnacentral:rRNA from 1 species
UACGGAGGGGGCUAGCGUUGUUCGGAAUUACUGGGCGUAAAGCGUGCGUAGACGGUUAUUUAAGUCGGAUGUGAAAGCCCCGGGCUCAACCUGGGAAUUGCAUUCGAGACUGAAUAGCUAGGGUGCGGUAGAGGGAAGCGGAAUUUCCGGUGUAGCGGUGAAAUGCGUAGAUAUCGGAAGGAACAUCAGUGGCGAAAGCGGCUUCCUGGACCAGCACCGACGUUCAGGCACGAAAGCGUGGGGAGCAAACAGG